GAUGAAGAACGUAGCGAAAUGCGAUACGUAAUGUGAAUUGCAGAAUUCAGUGAAUCAUCGAAUCUUUGAACGCAUAUUGCGCUCUCUGGUGUUCCGGAGAGCAUGCUUGUUUGAGUAUCAGUAAACACCUCAACUUCCAUAUCUUUUUUGAAAUGGGAGUUGGACUUGAGUGAUCCCAACGCUUUUCCUCACCGAAAAGUGGCGGGUUACUUGAAAUGCAGGUGCAGCUGGACUUUUCUCUGAGCUAUAAGCAUAUCUAUUUAGUCUGCCUAAAAAACAGAUUAUUACCUUUGCUGCAGCUAACAUAAAGGAGAUUAGUUCUUGUGCUGACUGAUGCAGGAUUCACAAAGACAGGCUUCGGCCGACUUUGUAAACUCGAUCUCAAAUCAAGUAAGACUACCCGCUGAACUUAAGCAUAUCAAUAAGCGGAGGA
rnacentral:misc_RNA from 1 species